GACCUAGAGAUAAGGGAUGUAGGUUCAGGUGACCUAGAGUUAAGGGAUGUAGGGUCAGGUUCAGGUGACCUAGAGAUAAGGGAUGUAGGUUCAGGUGACCUAGAGGUAAGGGAUGUAGGGUCAGGUUCAGGUGACCUAGAGAUAAGGGAUGUAGGUUCAGGUGACCUAGAGGUAAGGGAUGUAGGGUCAGGUUCAGGUGACCUAGAGAUAAGGGAUGUAGGUUCAGGUGACCUAGAGGUAAGGGAUGUAGGGUCAGGUUCAGGUGACCUAGAGAUAAGGGAUGUAGGUUCAGGUGACCUAGAGAUAAGGGAUGUAGGGUCAGGUUCAGGUGACCUAGAGAUAAGGGAUGUAGGUUCAGGUGACCAAGAGAUAAGGGAUGUAGGUUCAGCUGACCUAGAGAUAAGGGAUGUAAGUUCAGGUGACCUAGAGUUAAGGGAUGUAGGGUCAGGUUCAGGUGACCUAGAGAUAAGGGAUGUAGGUUCAGGUGACCUAGAGGUAAGGGAUGUAGGGUCAGGUUCAGGUGACCUAGAGAUAAGGGAUGUAGGUUCAGGUGACCUAGAGGUAAGGGAUGUAGGGUCAGGUUCAGGUGACCUAGAGAUAAGGGAUGUAGGUUCAGGUGACCUAGAGGUAAGGGAUGUAGGGUCAGGUUCAGGUGACCUAGAGAUAAGGGAUGUAGGUUCAGGUGAUCUAGAGAUAAGGGAUGUAGGUUCAGUUGACCGAGAGAUAAGGGAUGUAGGUUCAGGUGACCUAGAGAUAAGGGAUGUAGGGUCAGGUUCAGGUGAUCUAGAGAUAAGGGAUGUAGGUUCAGUUGACCUAGAGAUAAGGGAUGUAGGUUCAGGUGACCUAGAGAUAAGGGAUGUAGGGUCAGGUUCAGGUGACCUAGAGAUAAGGGAUGUAGGGUCAGGGUCAGGUGACCUAGAGAUAAGGGAUGUAGGUUCAGGUUCAGGUGACCUAGAGAUAAGGGAUGUAGGGUCAGGGUCAGGUGACCUAGAGAUAAGGGAUGUAGGUUCAGGUUCAGGUGACCUAGAGAUAAGGGAUGUAGGGUCAGGGUCAGGUGACCUAGAGAUAAGGGAUGUAGGUUCAGGUGACCUAGAGAUAAGGGAUGUAGGGUCAGGUUCAGGUGACCUAGAGAUAAGGGAUGUAGGUUCAGGUGACCUAGAGAUAAGGGAUGUAGGGUCAGGUUCAGGUGACCUAGAGAUAAGGGAUGUAGGGUCAGGUUCAGGUGACCUAGAGAUAAGGGAUGUAGGGUCAGGUUCAGGUGACCUAGAGGUAAGGGAUGUAGGGUCAGGUUCAGGUGACCUAGAGGUAAGGGAUGUAGGGUCAGGUUCAGGUGACCUAGAGAUAAGGGAUGUAGGUUCAGGUGACCUAGAGAUAAGGGAUGUAGGGUCAGGUUCAGGUGACCUAGAGAUAAGGGAUGUAGGUUCAGGUGACCUAGAGAUAAGGGAUGUAGGGUCAGGUUCAGGUGACCUAGAGAUAAGGGAUGUAGGUUCAGGUGACCUAGAGGUAAGGGAUGUAGGGUCAGGUUCAGGUGACCUAGAGAUAAGGGAUGUAGGUUCAGGUGACCUAGAGGUAAGGGAUGUAGGGUCAGGUUCAGGUGACCUAGAGAUAAGGGAUGUAGGUUCAGGUGACCUAGAGAUAAGGGAUGUAGGGUCAGGUUCAGGUGACCUAGAGAUAAGGGAUGUAGGUUCAGGUGACCAAGAGAUAAGGGAUGUAGGUUCAGCUGACCUAGAGAUAAGGGAUGUAGGUUCAGGUGACCUAGAGUUAAGGGAUGUAGGGUCAGGUUCAGGUGACCUAGAGAUAAGGGAUGUAGGUUCAGGUGACCUAGAGGUAAGGGAUGUAGGGUCAGGUUCAGGUGACCUAGAGAUAAGGGAUGUAGGUUCAGGUGACCUAGAGGUAAGGGAUGUAGGGUCAGGUGACCUAGAGAUAAGGGAUGUAGGUUCAGGUGACCUAGAGUUAAGGGAUGUAGGGUCAGGUUCAGGUGACCUAGAGAUAAGGGAUGUAGGUUCAGGUGACCUAGAGGUAAGGGAUGUAGGGUCAGGUUCAGGUGACCUAGAGAUAAGGGAUGUAGGUUCAGGUGAUCUAGAGAUAAGGGAUGUAGGUUCAGUUGACCGAGAGAUAAGGGAUGUAGGUUCAGGUGACCUAGAGAUAAGGGAUGUAGGGUCAGGUUCAGGUGAUCUAGAGAUAAGGGAUGUAGGUUCAGUUGACCUAGAGAUAAGGGAUGUAGGUUCAGGUGACCUAGAGAUAAGGGAUGUAGGGUCAGGUUCAGGUGACCUAGAGAUAAGGGAUGUAGGGUCAGGGUCAGGUGACCUAGAGAUAAGGGAUGUAGGUUCAGGUUCAGGUGACCUAGAGAUAAGGGAUGUAGGGUCAGGGUCAGGUGACCUAGAGAUAAGGGAUGUAGGUUCAGGUUCAGGUGACCUAGAGAUAAGGGA